AACGAACGCUGGCGGCAGGCCUCAAACAUGCAAGUCUAGGGGGUGCAGCAAUGCAUCACCGGCGGACGGGUGCGUAACGCGUGGGAAUAUACCUUUUGGUUCGGAACAACUGCGGGAAACUGCAGCUAAUACCGAAUGUGCCCUAACGGGGAAAGAUUUAUCGCCAAAGGAUUAGCCCGCGUAGGAUUAGCUAGUUGGUGAGGUAAUGGCUCACCAAGGCUCCGAUCCUUAGCUGCUGAGAGGAAGAUCAGCCACACUGGGACUGAGACACGGCCCAGACUCCUACGGGAGGCAGCAGUUGGGAAUCUUGGACAAUGGGGGAAACCCUGAUCCAGCCAUGCCGCGUGAGUGAUGAAGGCCUU
rnacentral:rRNA from 1 species